rnacentral:rRNA from 1 species
UACGUAGGGGGCAAGCGUUGUCCGGAAUCAUUGGGCGUAAAGCGCGUGUAGGCGGCUUGGUAAGUCUGCUCUGAAAGCCCGGGGCUCAACCCCGGGAGGCGGGUGGAUACUGUCAAGCUCGAGUCCGGAAGAGGAGUGUGGAAUUCCUGGUGUAGCGGUGAAAUGCGUAGAUAUCAGGAGGAACACCUGUGGUGUAGACGGCUUUCUGGACCAUAGCUGACGCUGAGACACGAAAGCGGUGGGUAGCAAACAGGG